UACGUAGGGUGCGAGCGUUGUCCGGAAUUAUUGGGCGUAAAGGGCUCGUAGGUGGUCUGUUGCGUCGGGCGUGAAAACUCAGGGCUUAACCCUGAGCCUGCUUCCGAUACGGGCAGACUAGAGGUAUGCAGGGGAGAACGGAAUUCCUGGUGUAGCGGUGAAAUGCGCAGAUAUCAGGAGGAACACCGGUGGCGAAGGCGGUUCUCUGGGCAUUACCUGACGCUGAGGAGCGAAAGUGUGGGGAGCGAACAGG
rnacentral:rRNA from 1 species